AUGGCCGCAGCACUCCUCCUCCUGGUGCCGCCCGUCGGCCUCCUCGCCGCGCUCGCCUUCCUGACCCGUCCCCGGGCCGCGCGAAUCCCGCUCAAGGGCCGCCACGUCUUCAUCACCGGCGGGUCCAGCGGCAUCGGGCUCGCCCUCGCCACGGCCGCCGCGCGGGAGGGCGCGCGGGUCUCCAUCCUCGCGCGCAACGCCGCCCGCCUCGACGACGCGCGCGCCGCCAUCAGGCUUGCCACGGGACAGGACGUCGGGGUCCACCAGGCCGACGUGCGGGAUGCCGCCGCCGUGGCACGCGCACUUUACGAGGCCGGGCCUGUCGACGUGCUCGUCUGCAACCACGGCGUGUUCGUGCCGCAGGAGCUGGAGAAGCAGGACAUGGAGGAGGUCAAGUGGAUGGUGGACAUCAACCUCAUGGGGACCUUCCACCUCAUCAAGGCCGCGCUCCCUGCCAUGAAGGCACGCACCCGCGAGACCAGUCUCCCGGCGUCCAUUGCCAUCAUGUCAUCGCAGGCUGGUCAGGUUGGUGUUUAUGGGUAUACUGCUUACUCCGCGAGCAAGUUCGCACUAACUGGACUUGCAGAGUCGCUGCAGCAUGAGGUUGUUUCGGACGACAUUCAUGUGUCGCUGAUCUUCCCUCCUGACACAGAGACACCGGGUCUUGUCGAGGAGAAGAAAAAGAGGCCAGAGCUUACCACUAUCAUAGCAGAUUCAUCUGGUGGAAUGAAGGCUGAUGAUGUUGCUAUGAAGGCUCUAAACGGCAUCAAAUCUGGGAGGUUUAUUGUCCCCUGCAAUUUCGAGGGAGCAAUGUUAGCUAUAGCCACUUCUGGUCUAACCCCCCAGAGUUCCCCGUUAAUUGCAUUCGUGGAGGUGAUCGGUGCUGGACUGAUGCGAUUUGUAGCACUAUGUUUCCAGUGGAAUUGGUUCUCUACUAUUGAGAACUGGUAUGCCAAGAACAAGAAACAUGGGUGA
rnacentral:rRNA from 1 species